rnacentral:rRNA from 1 species
AGUGAACGCUGGCGGUAGGCCUAACACAUGCAAGUCGAACGGCAGCACAGUAAGAGCUUGCUCUUACGGAUGGCGAGUGGCGUGCGGGUGAGGAGUACAUCGGGAUCUACUUUUUCGUGGGGGAUAACGUAGGGAGACUUAAGAUAAUAUCGCAGACGACCUACGGGGGAAAGCAGUGGAACGUCGGAGCUUGCGCGGUUGAAUGCGCCGAUGUCGAAUUAGCUGGUUGGGGGGGUAAUGGCCCACCAUGUCGAGGAUACGCGGCCCGUCUGGGAGGCUGGUCGGCCACAUUAGAAGUGGAACACGGUCCAGACGCCUACGGGAGGCAGCAGUGUGGAACGUGAGACAAUGGGCGCAAGCCUUAUCCAGCCAUCCCGCGUGGGUGAAGAAGACCUUCGGGUUGUAAAGCCCGUUUGCUGGGAAAGAAAAGCAGCAGGCUAAUACCCCGCGGUACUGACGGUAAUCAAAGAAGAAGCACCGGCUAACUACGUG